GAUGAACGCUGGCGGCGUGCUUAACACAUGCAAGUCGAACGGUGAACGAGGGAGCUUGCUCCCUCCGGAUCAGUGGCGAACGGGUGAGCAACACGUGAGCAACCUGCCCCGGACUCUGGGAUAAGCGCUGGAAACGGCGUCUAAUACUGGAUACGAGCCGUGAAGGCAUCUUCAACGGUUGGAAAGAUUUUUCGGUCUGGGAUGGGCUCGCGGCCUAUCAGCUUGUUGGUGAGGUAAUGGCUCACCAAGGCGUCGACGGGUAGCCGGCCUGAGAGGGUGACCGGCCACACUGGGACUGAGACACGGCCCAGACUCCUACGGGAGGCAGCAGUGGGGAAUAUUGCACAAUGGGCGGAAGCCUGAUGCAGCAACGCCGCGUGAGGGAUGACGGCCUUCGGGUUGUAAACCUCUUUUAGCAAGGAAGAAGCGAAAGUGACGGUACUUGCAGAAAAAGCGCCGGCUAACUACGUGCCAGCCGCCGCAGUAAAAC
rnacentral:rRNA from 1 species